UACGGGGGGAGCAAGCGUUGUUCGGAUUUACUGGGCGUAAAGGGCUCGUAGGCGGCCAACUAAGUCGGACGUGAAAUCCCUCAGCUUAACUGGGGAACUGCGUCCGAUACUGGAUGGCUUGAGUUUGGGAGAGGGAUGCGGAAUUCCAGGUGUAGCGGUGAAAUGCGUAGAUAUCUGGAGGAACACCGGUGGCGAAGGCGGCAUCCUGGACCAACACUGACACUGAGGAGCGAAAGCCAGGGGAGCAAACGGG
rnacentral:rRNA from 1 species